rnacentral:lncRNA from 1 species
ACUCCCACUUCCAACCGAGAGGUUGUGAGUUCGAGUCUUCCCAAGAGCAAGGUGAGAAGUUCUAGGAGGCAAGGAUGCCGGGGUCUAUUUGUCUAUUUGGAAAUAGCCUCUCUACCUAAGGGUAGGGGUAAGGACUGCGUACACAUUACCCUCCCCAAACCCUACUAAGUGGGAUUAUACUGGUUUGUUGUUGCUGUUGAACAUCACGCCAAUGUUUGUGCAGCUUCUCUUUGGACUCAAUCAAUUCCUUCUUAUAGUUUUGUCUUCAUCAUCUCUAACUAAAAGACUCCUUCCCCCAAAAAUAAAAAGGGACGGACUUUCCUUUUUGGAAAAAAACCUAACCCUAGCCAGCUGCCCCUAUCCUCUCAAAACGAUCCCCUCCCCAAAAAAUAAAAAACACUAACAGCCUUGCCCGACUUCUUCUUCUCAUCGAGCAACCUCCAAAUUGGUUGACCAUUUUCUCGCUUUUACACACGAUUUACGCACUAGGAGUAUAUAAAAAUCAUGAAAGGAGAUUUUCGACUUCGAUUCUUUGCUAUUUUUGACUUCUAAUCUUAGCUUCAUAAUUUCUGGGAAUCUGAAGCGAUUGAAUCGCUCUUCGCUGCUAUCGAGUUGAACUUGUUUGGUCGUUGGAUAUUGUUGUUCUCGUUACUGGAUUUCACCUCAUAUUUUAGAUAUCUGCUUGUUGUUUUCAGUUUAUUUCGGCUAUUUAGGUAUGUAUACAUUUACCCGAAAUCCUCUUUUGAAUAUUAACGAAUAUUUGGAUUGUUGACCUGAUGAAUAUAUUCAGUUUUCUGUAUUUCUUGAGUUCAACCUCCAGAUUUGAAUGCUUGUUUCUAUUUAUUGAUAUUUUUUUUUAAAAAAACGAAUCAAAAUUGGUCAUUAAUUAGUUUGGCUCUCCUGUUGUUGUUUUGUUCUAAACUCAGCAUGUUGAUGCUAGGUAUCAUUAUGUUUGGCAUCUAUACUGUUAAUUAAGCACUUAGUGAAUUCACAAGACUUUUGAAUUGAGUUAUUUGUUACCGAAAUGUUCAUUCCUUGAGGAUAAAGUGUGAAUGCAUCAUGAAGCAUGAAUUUAAGUUACUAACUUUGAAUAAAAGCUCGAAUAAGCAAUGAAUUAGUUUCAUGGUGAUUGGUUGUGCAAACCAGCUGUAUUUUUUCAGUACAUAUGUCGGCUUUAUGUUGUGAGGUCUGCGGUGUUGGCUAGCUGAAUGGAUUAGGCCAUCAUAUUGCUGUAAAUAAUUUGUCCAUUAGAGUUGAUAGUGAAUCCAAGAUUAACAGGUUGUGUUGCUUAUCACAAGUUUUGUUCUUUGGUUUUAGGGAAUUGAUUUAAACAAAGGGAUUUAGGCUUAAAAGAAUUUGAUCCGGUCGAAUUUUGAAGCUGGUCCAUCUUUAUUUUAUAGAUAAAAGAUGCCUAACAAUUGCCAAAUACUUUCAAUAACUUAGACUUCAGUAAUACUACUAUUUUUAUUAAGUAAAAUUUAUACCCUUAUCCACAAAAAUCCAUAAUUAUGGACCUUCACAAUAACCCUAAACUUAGGAAAUGUACAAUUCAUGAAUACUUUAGAAUGAUUUAGGCUCGCUCUUAAUUAAUCAAAUUAUCGUGAUUGUGUACACGUUCUUAUGUCAUAAUUAUGAUUUCCAAAACAGUCAAAGUAUGCGUUCGCGCAACUUUGGCCAGAACAAAUUUUCUUAAUUAAUAAAGCGUGAUUUAUUGUUUACACAUACGCGUGACAUGAUUUUAGCGCCCCAAAUAAAACGGAUUUACACACAUGUGAUUCGUUUCCAAUAUAAAUCCAUAACACGCCAUAAUUAAAAAGCGGUAAAAGGUAAAAAUAUACAUAGGUUCUAAAAUGAGCAAUUAAAUAAUUUAAUUAAGUCAGGUAUGAUUAAAGUGAUCAUGUUAAAACCACAGAAUCUAGGAAUGCCUAAUACUUUCUCUCAGAUUAAGAAAAUUUCUUACCCGGUCUUCUAGAUUUUGCAGACUUUAAAACAGAGUCAAAUUUCCUCGACUUGGGAUUAAAAAAUAAGCCUGUGACUUGGGACACAAUAAAUUAUUUCAAGUGGCAACUAUGAAAUUAAAUAAAAACUUUUAUUUCGAAAAAUAUCACUUUAAUUAGAAAAAUCCUCUAUCCCCUCGGGAAGAAUGUGGUGUGACAGCUCUGGCGACUCUACUGGGAAAAGGAAUCCAGAAUCUCUAGUUCAGGGUUUAGAAUUUGAGCUUGUAAUGUAAUCUAUACUUGGCUUUAUUGUUUGUUGAUAUAACUGUGGUUGUGGUAUGAAUGUGCGAAUUGUUGCUAAUUUACCGCUUUGAUAUUAUUUGAAUUGUAUAAACUGUCUUCUUACGCCCCACUUAUGAGGUUUCUAAAAAUAUGGUGCACAUGUACGUGUGAUCCACUUUUCUGUUAUAGGUCGAACCAAAUACAACGAGGCUGGAUCAACAGCUAGGCCGGGUAAACUUUCGUGCUCCUGAUGCAUUUACCCCACCUUAGCUCGAUCUGUCCACUUGGGUAAGCCAUGUCUAGAACACACCCGAGGUUUAAACCUAGAAUAACAUAGCCUCAUGCCGGAUCCUUAGUAGAAAUAUUUGUUUGCAUCACGUGCAUUUGACUUCCAGAUUUUUUCGGUUCUAGUUUCCUUCUUCGCGAACGCGAGAGGGUCAUCACGUUCGUAAAGAAGAAUUUAAGGAAGAGGGAAAUUACUCUUCGCGUUCGCGAAGCUUUAUGAGCCUAGGCCUAUGUGUUCGCGAAGCCCCACUCGCGUUCGCACAGGGGAAAUAAGGUCGGGGAGGGCUAGUUCGCUUUGCUCUUCGCGUUCGCAUAGUAGUUAUCGCGUUUGCGAUGCGCAGGUAGCUUCGGCCUUUCAUAAUUAUGUAUUUUAGCCUAUCUUGUGCUCUCUUUUGCUUAGGUUUUGGAUCGAAAAGACGUAAUAGUAUUCCCAAAAACUGACUUAUUGUGCUUGUCUGCAGUGUUGAUCAAAAUGAGGCAAGAAAGCCAUAAUCAACUCAUGAAGGAGUUAAAAUUGUACAAGUUCAAAGCUGAGAUAAAAGCGCUGACCGCGAAGGAAAAGAGCGGCUGCGGAAGGUCCACGCUGGAGCGACCUUAAUUAUGCGGUCCGCGAAAUUGAGGUUCAAAGAAAGUGUUUUGGGUGCAACAAAGACCGUUGACCGCAAUGAAAAAGUGCAACUGCGUCCUAACGCUAAGCCGUUCAUUAUUUCAGUGACAGCGGAACCUCUGUAGGGGUAGUUUUGUCCAGUAAUUUCAGCUGUAUAUAAAUAGUUCUUUUUCACAUUUUAAGGUUAUCUUUUGCUUGGAGGAGCUCGUGAACAACCGUAUUUUACCACUUAGAGUAAUUUUAGAGCAACUUUAGCUAUUAAUCUUAAAUUUUAUUCUUGUAAUAAACUUUUAUGGCUUAUAUUUCAUCUCUAUCUUUGAUUUCUA